ensembl:snRNA U6 U6 spliceosomal RNA
GUGCUCGCUUUGGCAGCUCAUAUCCUAAGGAUUAGCAUGAUACCAAGAAGAUUAGCAUGGCCCCUGAGCAAGGAUGACAGGCAAAUUCGUGAAGUGGUCCAUAUUUUU